rnacentral:lncRNA from 1 species
UUAUUACUAAUCGGUUAAAAACAUGUUCCCUAGUCUCUCUCUUGCUUGAAUGCAUUCAAGAACAUUCUCAUUGUUGAAGUCCACUUCAACUUGUUCCGCAGCGCUACCCUAAGCAUUGGGAUUAGGGCUUCUAAGUUGUAACUAUAAUAGAAAUCACGAGCUACGUUAAUCCCAACGUCUCUGCACUCUGCGAGAUUCUCAGUGAUUCCUCGUCAACACAAUCUCUGAAUUCGAUCACAAACCGUGGAGUACCUUCGUUUCUUCUACUUGGAGGAAUCAGCAAUCGGUUUUCCGUCACUCUCCUCGCAUCCGUUAAAUUAGAGGUGAGCCACUACACCGUAACCGUUUUUUUUUUUUUUUCUGGAUUUGAUCGAUUUGCAUUACUUCAAUUUCAAUGCAAUGCCGUGACGAGGUUCUUAUGAGUCACCAGAUGUAUAUCUCAAUUCUUGUUCGAACUGCAAUUACAUUUACCUGCUUCAUUGUUGCCAGAUCAUACAAAAUUUUUACUUAGAUUAAUUCGGUUAGUUUAUAUUUAGAUCUAAAUCUCGUCACCGCGGCAUUAUUCCGUCAGUAAGAGACUCACAAUUUUUUACUAAUCUUUCAAUACUCCCUCGCCACCGUGAAGAGCUUGUUCUACAUCCUUGAUUGUGUAGACAUUUAAUAUUUUUGCUAUUAUUUUAUUUGCUUGAUAAGGAUAGUAGUUUGUUCUAUUUUGUCACACAUGAUGAUGGUUAAGUUGAAAAUCGCUCUGCCAAGAGUUGCUUUGCAGGCAUACAUGGAAAAGCCGUGCUUAGCUGAUUGUUUUAUGAUUUCUUAUUGCUUUUUAAGGAUGCUUCCUCUGAACACUACUUGCUCUUUGAUUGCAUAUCGUAUACCUUAAUCUAAAUUAUUAGUUAUUUAGCUUCAUUGCAUCAAUUCUACUUUACCCAUCCAAUCCUGAAAGUAAUGAGAAACGAAAUCUGGAAAUGUGAUUACAACAGAAAGUGGAACUACAUCACUGCAUAUGGCAUAAUUUCAUGUUUUCAUUCUGUUUAUAAGGUUUUAGGGAAAUUGUCUUGGCUAUUGGUACAAGGGAAAUAAAUUACAUUAAGUACAAUAAUAUGUCUUUUCUAACCCAUUUCAUGUCAUUUAUGUCUCUACUUGUAUGAAAGGACUAAACGUGAGACUUUCUCUAUCCAUAAUGAAGCACCCAAAAGUUGAACCCAACAUUAUGCCAUUUAAAUCUAAAAAACAGUGAUGAUAUCUUUUUUGGAAUGACUGCUGUAGAACCUAAUUGCAUUUAGCAAUAUAAUUUAUGUUUAAUGGCUUAUUCGGUUCUUAUAACUAAAAGCCCUUGUUCUUUUAAUUUCUAUUUUAAAACAUCAUAUUUUAAAUCCUAGACAACCGUUUUUAAUCCCUUCAAUGAGAAUUAAAAGUGAUUGAAGAUUAUAUGUGUAGGCACUAGAAGGAAAUAUUUAUAGGUAAUAGGGACUAAAAUGAGUGUUUUUAACUAUAGGAACCAAAUGAAAAAUUAAACUUGUAAUUUAUAUGGCUGUUUUAAGGAAAGUUGUUAUGAUAAUACUGUCGAUGUCGAUACUUCCAUGUUUUGAACCUACGGUCUUUCCGUUUAUGUUAGUGGAAGGGAGAGCUAUUUGCUUCCAGUUCACAAUGGCCGAUUUCCUUUUCUCUUUUAGUCAAACAUUUGCCCACAUAUGUGUUAUAUCUACAAGGUCUACAGAAAUAUAAAAUGACUAGAUAGUUCUCCUUGACGCUGAGAUUGAUAAUAAUAGAGAUUUGGGUAUUAUAGAGUGCUUAAGUUUCGUAUCAAGUAGAUGGAGUAGUUAAAUGGUUUGAUUCUCCUCCUUUAGCGGGUAGGUUUUAAGGGAGGGUUUUGCUUGUCUUUCAGAUGCUUAUACCAUUUCUUUGUAUUAGCUUCAUGGCUUGGUAUUCCUUAUUAGGAUGUAUAGGUGCUUAAUUUUUUUGGACAAUGUAUGUUUAAACUUUGCCUUGAAUUUAAAAUAUUUAGACUACUGUAGGCUACCCUUUUCACUAUUGUGUAUAUCAGUGCAGCCAAUAAAUGGCCUACUUUGUUUGAAAAGAGAGCAUGCAUUUCUCUUUACGGUUUUCCUCGUUAGUUUUUUUGUAUGGAUCAGUCAGUUUCUUCUGUUGAUUUGCCAUGUCGUAAGAUAAAUUCUUAUAAGCCUUGUGGGUUGUCAUCUUCAGGCCAAUUCUCCCCCUUUCAGUCUAACAUUAAGUACAAACUGAUGGCAAAGCUAAACUCACCUCAGAAGCCGCAUAUUAUUUCACAAAUCUUGUCAGCUAUUGCAUUUAUGAUUGACUUAAAUGUAACAUCUCUUUCAAUGGAUUAAGUUCACUAAUAAGAAUCUUGAAACUGGAAGCUAGUUUAACAUUUCUCUGAAUUGUUGAAUGUUUGAUUUAUUACUUGCUGAACCUAACCACUGUUAUGCACUUGUUCCAGCCAGAGAGAAGCUGUUAAAGUUUUCAUAUGGAAAGCCACUCCGUCAUCAUAAAAUCCAAGGGAUAGAAAUCUCUUUUGUGCGCCAUCAAUUAAAAAAAUUCCCAUCUUAUAUUCAAUUCAAGUAAGUAGGCAACGUAAUUCCUAAGUUUGUGUAAUAUUUGAACUUGAAAUGCCACUAAAGAACCAUAUUAAAAACGAUUUUUUUAGAAGAUAACCCUAUAGACUAAUCUUAUUUGUUAUAUUUUUCAUUUUUUCCUUAGGGAUGACGUAAAUGAUUGCAAGAUAAUAAAAUAAACAUAAAACAAAGUUGUCAUUGUCGAUUCAUAUACGUUGAACUCGAUAAAGCCAAGCUGGACUGACUGCAGGGCAGGGCCUAAGCUCUCAAAAAAAAGAGGCUACAAAACAUUGGACUGGCCCCAUUCACAUAAAAUCCUAGCUGAAGACAACUAAAAACUAUACAGAUACAUAUACAAAAGCUAUACACUCAACGUACACCAAAAUUCACAGUUAUGUUACAUGAAACUGUUGGACAUUCCCUUCCUACUGCCUCAUCUCUGCAAGAUGAGUUGAAUUUACAGGUCGCGUUAGGUUCCUCACCAGAUGCUGGCGAAUUUUUAGUUUCCUCACGGUACAAGCUGACACAUCUCAUGCAUACAAACUUAGAAGGCAUGCCAUCAGAAUUAUCAAUUCCAGCGCAUCUGGUAUGCUGCCAAACGCCACAUGUAUCACAUGCUAACAUUUUCUCUCCAUCAUCAUCCUUAGCCCCACAGGUGCAAUCAACCUUCCACGCCUCAGUUCCUCGUUCCAUUCGGAAUCUGCUUAGCCCAUGUUUGGCUGGGCAUUUACCUUGAAUUCGGACUGAUCCACUUGUUCCGAGCAAUAACUUUACGGUGAGCGAAUCACUGAUUGACCCAUAUCCCAGGAGUUCUUCAGCUUGAAACCUCUUAUACAUUGCAUACACCUCUUGAAAAGCACUAGUGGCUUCGCUCUUGAGCUCAGCAACGGUGGCAUUCAAAGGCAACACAAUAAGCUCUGGCGGUGGGCAUGGAUCUUCCUUAGGCUGAUCAGAAAGCUCCACAUGGCACCACAACCUAAUCACAGAAGGCAGUUCUAUGGCCAUUUCAUAUGGCUUGUAAUCCUUCAUAAAUUGUUUACAGUCAAGGAGCUUCCUGGCUGAAUCAGCAACCCUUUUCCUCAUAAUCCUAGGUCUGUAGGACAUCAUUUUCUCAGGAUGUAUUAUCGAAUCAAAUAAAAAUUUCAAGUCAGAGAUCAGUUGCCCUUCUGUAGGAUAGCUUAAAUCUGUACUUAAUCCAUUACUCCUUGGUCCCAACCUGUUAUUAAGUAUAUAU